rnacentral:rRNA from 1 species
AACGAACGCUGGCGGCAUGCUUAACACAUGCAAGUCGAACGGAGAACAGCUUGCUGUUCUUAGUGGCAAACGGGUGAGUAACACGUGGGAAUCUGCCUUUUAGUGGGGAAUAACUAAAGGAAACUUUAGCUAAUACCGCAUAAGCUCGGCAACGAGGAAAAGUAUUUAUAUUGCUAAAAGAUGAGCCCGCGUCAGAUUAGGUAGUUGGUAGGGUAAUGGCCUACCAAGCCCGCGAUCUGUAGCUGGUCUGAGAGGAUGAUCAGCCACACUGGGAUUGAGAUACGGCCCAGACUCCUACGGGAGGCAGCAGUGAGGAAUAUUGGACAAUGGGGGAAACCCUGAUCCAGCAAUGCCGCGUGAAUGAAGAAGGCUUUUGGGUUGUAAAGUUCUUUCGCUUACGAAGAUAAUAGACGGUAGUAAGAUAAGAAGCCCCGGCUAACUCUGUGCCAGCCGCCGCAGUAAGAC